CCUACGGGAGGCAGCAGUGGGGAAUAUUGGACAAUGGGGGGAACCCUGAUCCAGCGACGCCGCGUGAGUGAAGAAGUAUUUCGGUAUGUAAAGCUCUAUCAGCAGGGAAGAAAGAAAUGACGGUACCUGACUAAGAAGCCCCUGCUAACUACGUGCCAGCAGCCGCGGUAAGACGUAGGGGGCAAGCGUUAUCCGGAUUUACUGGGUGUAAAGGGAGCGUAGACGGCGAUGCAAGUCUGAAGUGAAAGGCGGGGGCCCAACCCCUGGACUGCUUUGGAAACUGUAUGGCUGGAGUGCAGGAGAGGUAGGUGGAAUUCCUAGUGUAGCGGUGAAAUGCGUAGAUAUUAGGAGGAACACCAGUGGCGAAGGCGGCUUACUGGACUGUAACUGACGUUGAGGCUCGAAAGCGUGGGGAGCAAACAGGAUUAGAUACCCCUGUAGUC
rnacentral:rRNA from 1 species